GUUGUAUGGUUAAGUGACUAAGCGUACACGGUGGAUGCCUUGGCAGUCAGAGGCGAUGAAAGGCGUAUUAACUUGCGAUAAGCUCAGAUUAGGUAGUAAAAACCUGUGAGUCUGAGAUUCCUGAAUGGGGAAACCCAGCUGCAUAAGCAGUUAUCGCUGAGUGAAUACAUAGCUCAGCGAGGCGAACCGGGGGAACUGAAACAUCUAAGUACCCCGAGGAA
rnacentral:rRNA from 1 species